GUGUUGGCUGUCAUCCAGAGCCAUGGCCAGAUCUACUCUGGUGGUUUCCACAAGAUUUGGGCUAUCAUGUGCCUUCUUAAAUCCUGAGAUAGUAUAGGAAGCCACAAGGAAUAAAACACCACAUCUUUUACUCAUAUAUGUAAUAGUAACAGAAAACUGGCCAAUAUGUUAGAUUGAAGACAUCGGAGACACAAUCCUAUGGCAGCGGGAAUAGGCAUCAGACUUUUCUACAGCAACAUUCAAAGCUAGAAGACAGUAAAGAAAUGUCUACCAAGUUCUGAAGGAAGGACUGUGGACCAUGAGGAAGGUGGUCAAAAGAGGAGCUUGUUGGUUCACAAAUUGGCCCUGUACAUGGAAGGCAAAGAGAGACAGAAGAAAGAGGGAGAUCACUCCAGAUUAGUAGGUGGCAUAUUUAAUAAGCAAGGGAACUUACUUUCAAGGUUC